CUCCGGGAGCUAUUCGAGUGGUGGAAGGAGUUGAAUAUCAAGGAAAGGCUUCCUUUUGGUCCAGAUAGGCUGCUUUAGAUUUACUUUUGGACAAUGGGAAUUACCCCCUCCGGGUCCCCAAUUUUCCAAGUGAAGGAGGAAUAUA